UCAUCUUCGACAUUCUGGUCUGGGUGAAUCUGAGAUAUUUGAAGUUCUUUAUCUGAUUCUUCCAUGUCAACAACAGAAAUAAUAGAUUAAUUUAGAAGGUAAUCAUGUAGAGAGAAGUAUCGAUCAUUGCCUGUCCAUAUCGUUUUCAUCUCCACGAUGCAAGAUUGGAAUGGUUCCAGAUAAUCGAAAUAGGAAACAUAUUGGGGGAGAUUCGUUUAUUACAAUCAAGUCAGCAGGUGAUGCAAUCUUAUCAGUUCUGGACAGCCAUAUAUGAUUAGAGAUAGGCAUCAGAAACUAAACAAUGGGAGUUUUCCUUCACUUAGCCUCACUCAAAAGGAGGUGGGUGGAUUUUCUACACCAAUCGCGUGAUGGUCAGAGAGAUUAUCCAAGAGAAUUUAGUUCUUGUAUCUGUUGACUUGGUUCUUGAGGGAAAUGGGUCAAAGCCAUAGAGUAGAGAAAGCAAUUGAGAAGAAGAGACUCAGAGAAGUUUUGGAUCCAAAAAUAUCAGACUGGCCUGAAGAAGAGACUCUGGUUCUAGCUCAGUUGGCUCUUCAGUGCUGCGAGCUGUGGAAAAAGGAUAGACCUGAUCUUGCUUCUGUUUUGCUGCCUGCACUGAGCAAACUACGGGAGUUUGCAACAGAGGAUCAUGAAGAACGUAACUCCAACAGAAUAUUUUCUGUGUCACGUGCUCACAAUUCGGUUUCUCUUUCCCCAAUAUCUUCCUCUCAGGGUUAACGUGGAAGGGCAUUCGAUUCAAGAUGAGGAACAAACUAUUCUCUUCCGUUUAUCAACCUUCUGUAUAUUACUUUCAGAGGUUAGUUGAGAUUCUAAGCAAUGACUAAGAAAAGUGUCUGAUACUGUAUAUAUAGAUUCAUCAAUUAGAAAAGGUUGAAGUGCAUAAAUGUAAAAAAGUACUGCUAUCAGCAGUAAGCGUCUUGAAGGUAAUUUGAUUAAGGUUGGUAUCUAUAUAUGUACUCACUACAAUUAGUUUUUAAAUUUUUCUGUAUAUUCACUGCAUUUAGUUUUAGAAAUUUAAGUGAUUAGCAAACGGUUAAAUCUAUUGACUCUGAAAAAAAAAUUAAAUAAAUUGUCGGGUGAAUAUUGGUUAUGAAAAUGGAAGUAAAAGAAGGGUUGAAUCAGUGUUUAGAAACUAAAUUCAAAAAUUACAAUAAGCAAAAUAUUGAUUCAUAUCAGUCCUAACAAUCGGUUCUGAUAUGCUUCCUUCAUGGGUCUCGAAUCACUGGUCAUAUUGAUAAUGAGGCACCUGCAUUUUCAAAAAAACAUCUAAAUUAUAAGAAAACUAUAGUUCUGAGUCAUAAUCCAACAAAGAAUUGAGAAUGCUACUAAUAUAAGAUAUGUAAAGUUUACCCUCGAAGAAGUAGAUGACUUAGUGUAUGUUUUGGAAAACCUCCUUGAAAACAACAUUAGUUGUCUGCUUCUGAAUCUUUCCCUCUUUGUUUAGUAUUAGUAUUCUCAAACCUUUUUUGGAUGUCACCCUAGACAAUGAAAACCCAGUUACCAAUAGGAAGCCUAUUCACAUAUUUGUUUACCAAAGUCUUUCUUCACUGAUGCAUGAAUCUUUUUACUCUGAAAGAAUGAAAGACAUAAGAUGCAUUAGUAAUAGAAAAUAAUUGUAUCUCGUAAACGUAAACAUUUAUUCUUACCAUCGAAUCUGAUAAAACCAACUCAAGUGUUUCACCAGCGGACGCCAUGAAUGGAUGAUCUUCACUUGAACCCUCCAUGAGGUUUUGUAGGGACGAACAUCUUUCAAGAAAUCAAAAGUAGCAGCCAUAAUUUUGAACAGAAAUCUCGGAAAUCUCGGAGAAGAUCACGGUGGAAGGAAGACAUAUCUUUCUAUUAAAUGGUUGAAGAUAAACGAUUGUUAUGAAAAUUAUUUUUCGGGUUAUGUAAUUUUAUCAAAAGGAUGGGCUUGGGCUAGUCCAAAGGAUUGUUAUGAAAAUAUUUUUGAAUUGUAAACGUGGAGCCCAAUAUUUUUGAAUUGUAAUAAACAAUUGGAGGGGAAAAUAAUUCCGGGUUUUGAUAA